rnacentral:lncRNA from 10 species
UGGGAAGCGGAUCAGUUCGGAUAACGGCCCUGAGCAAGAGUCUCUGUCCCGCUCCCGGCCUGACGCGGGGCUUCCAGCGGACACGACCAACGAUUUUAUAGGUUCAGAAAGUGUGUCUCAGAGGAGUUAGAGAAGACCGAUUAAUAGAUGACAGUGCUAAAGCCUGGAUCUCCUGAAUCCUGGUUUGGGGGAAGUUCUAUGAAAUCUAAGUUGAUGAACAUUAUUCCCCCUGCUGAUACCAAAAGUCCUGACUUGUAAGGAGGACAAAGCUGAGAUGAAAGUGUCCUAAGUUAGAUUCCUGGGAAGAAAAUUCUGAGACACAUUCUGCAGGAUGAUUAUUAGGGCUCAUCCUUGGUUUCAACACCCAUAGAAGGAAGGGGGAAGAAGAAAUCGAACAGAGAGACAGAAGUCGAGAUGCAUUUCAGGCCAGGACUCUUGGCUGAACCCACAGGAGCUCUGGAGCUAGAAUGGCCCUUCAGAGUUGUCCUGAGUUGGUCUGAGAUGGCCAGUUCUUUAUAUUCCUGCAUGGGAUAGUCACUGGAUGUCCACCCCAGGAAGGGGUGUGGCCAAGACAGUCCCUAAAAUGCCCGCCAGCACUCCCUACACCUGGAGCGACAAGACCAACAUCACAGGGGGAAUGCACUGGGUGAUGGAUCACAGCGUUCAUCCCAGAAGAUGAGGAUACAGAAUUGGCUGACAACUACGUUCUAAAUGUCAGUGUUCUCCAAAAUUCAUAUGUUGAAACUUAAUUCCCAAUGUGAUGGCAUUAGGAAGUGGGGCCUUUGGGGGAGGGACUAUAGGUCAUGAGGGUGUAACCCUCAUCAAUGGGAUUAGUGUCCAGAGAGCUGCCUUGCCCUUCCACCAUGUGAGGACAUAGUGAGAAGGUGCCAUCUAUGAACUAGGAAGUGGGCGCUUACCACCAGACACCCACUCUUCUGGCAACUUGAUCUUGAAUUUCCCAGCCUCCAGAACUCUGAGAAAUCAAUUUCUGUUAAUUAUAAGCUACCCAGUCGAUAGCAUUUUGUUAAAGCUGCUGGAACUAAACUAAGACACUGACGCUUUCUGCGACAAAAAGAUAGAGUGAGUCUCUAUAGCAUACCAUGUAACAGAUGUUUUUGGAAAAAUAACCUCAUUUCAUAUGUUUCCUCAAGAUAAAAAGAAUGUCAUAACAACAAAUGAGAAAAUAGUUGCUUUAGAAAUAUUGCACCCUAUGGAGAGAGUAUUUUGGAUUUUGGUUUUUUGUUUUGUUUUUUAACUUUUGUUUUAGGUUUGGGGGUACAUAUGCAGGUUUGUUAUAUAGGUAAACUCAUGUCACAGGGGUUUGUUGUACAGAUAAUUUCCUCACCCAGGUACUAAGCCUAGUACCCAAUAGUUGCUUUUUCUCCUCCUCUCUCUCCUCCCACCCUCCACCCUCAAAUAGGCCCCAGUGUAUGUUGUUCUCUUCAUUAUGUUCAUGAAGUUGAGAGAGUGUUUUGAAAAAGAAUGUUGGAAAGCAUUUCCACUGUUAGAUGAUUUUAAGUCAAAAAGUUAUACAACAGUGUGACCUAUUUGCACACAAGCAUGGACACAGAAUUGUGUCAUAUGUUUAAAACUUUUCUAGAUCCUUUUGUGGUUCAUAAGCUUGAUGAUUGAGUUUUCGCGUCCACAUGUGAGAUGUGCCUCCCUUGAGCCUUGUCAUUGGCACAUUACCUGCCUGAUGUGAACAAUAAAAAUAAAAAAUAAAAAUUUGCUAAGCAG